UAGCAGCAGGGUGAGCCAGCCUCUAAAGAUCCAGCUGUUUUGCUGCCUUUCAUAAUUGUCUUGAGGAGUCUCACUAACUCAUCUUUUGGAGCUAUGAGUAAUAAAAAUCAGUUAUGCUUAAGUCAGAUGAUGAAGUUGAGAAUGUGAUUGCAAAAGUACAGAAUGGAAUGGCUGAAAAAGAUUUGGUUGCAGGUCAAAAGAAAAUUAUUUCAGAGAUUGUUGCUAUGAAGGUGGGAAGACCUGUCUCUCUUUCCAAGUUUGGUACCAACUGUGGAGGCCUUUUAUUUUUUUAUUAUUGAUUAUGUUUUGUUUGU